rnacentral:rRNA from 1 species
UGCCUACGGGAGGCAGCAGUAGGGAAUUUUCGUCAAUGGGCGCAAGCCUGAACGAGCAAUGCCGCGUGAACGAGGAAGGUCUUCGGAUCGUAAAGUUCUGUUGAAGGGGAAAAAGAGCGGAGAGAGGAAAUGAACUCCGAUUGAUAUUACCCUUCGAGGAAGUCACGGCUAAAUACGUGCCAGCAGCCGCGGUAAUACGUAUGGAGCAAGCGUUAUCCGGAAUUACUGGGUGUAAAGGGAUCGUAGACGGUUGUGCAAGUCUGAUGUGAAAGGCG